rnacentral:rRNA from 1 species
GUGUCAGCAGCCGCGGUAAUACGUAGGGUGCGAGCGUUAAUCGGAAUUACUGGGCGUAAAGGGUGCGCAGGCGGUUUUGUAAGCCAGACGUGAAAUCCCCGGGCUUAACCUGGGAACUGCGUUUGGAACUGCAAGACUAGAGUGUGUCAGAGGGAGGUGGAAUUCCACGUGUAGCAGUGAAAUGCGUAGAUAUGUGGAGGAACACCGAUGGCGAAGGCAGCCUCCUGGGAUAACACUGACGCUCAUGCACGAAAGCGUGGGGAGCAAACAGGAUUAGAUACCCUUGUAGUCC